rnacentral:rRNA from 4 species
ACGGAUCUCUUGGUUCUGGCAUCGAUGAAGAACGCAGCAAAAUGCGAUAAGUAAUGUGAAUUGCAGAAUUCAGUGAAUCAUCGAAUCUUUGAACGCACAUUGCGCCCGCCAGUAUUCUGGCGGGCAUGCCUGUUCGAGCGUCAUU